rnacentral:rRNA from 1 species
AUUGAACGCUGGCGGCAGGCCUAACACAUGCAAGUCGAGCGAGCGGCGGACGGGUGAGUAAUGUAUGGGGAUCUGCCCGAUAGAGGGGGAUAACUACUGGAAACGGUGGAUAAUACUGCAUACUACCCGAUGAACCCAGAGGGGAUUAGCUAGUAGGUGGGGUAAAGGCUCACCGAGGCGACGAGGUCUAGCUGGUCUGAGAGGAUGAUCAGGCACACUGGGACUGAGACACGGCCCAGACUCCUACGGGAGGCAGCAGUGGUGAAUAUUGCACAAUGGGCGAAAGCCUGAUGCUGCCAUGCCGCGUGGAUGAAGAAGGUCUUAGGGUUGUAAAGGACUUUCAUCAGAGAGGCGUUACCCGCAGAAGAAGCACCGGCUAACUCCGUGCCAGCAGCCGCGGUAAUAC